AGUUUUCAUGCAAAUGUGAAGACAGAAAAGACAGCAGGGAGGUCACAUCAGUGGCUCAGGUCUAAGACCCAGUUCUGGCCCAGGGAGGACGCUGCCCGCGGGCCCCAGUGGAGGGCAGACGCCCAGGUGGUGGCGCGCUGGCACGAGGAGGACAGCUCCCGGUCCUCUCCUCUCUGCCGGGGCUCCCAUCCAGCGCUGAGGGCACACCAGUCAUCCAGAGCUUGGCCACCCGCCGCUGCUCCCUCCCUGCCUCUCAUGCUCUGGGAGGAUGGGAGGGGGUUUAUGGCCACUCCUGUGUCCUGCUUAAAGUGGUGGCGGUGACAGCAUUGGUCAGCAAUGGACUGAGAGAGAAGGAGCGUCUCAGGGUAGGGAGUGAUGGGGGCCUCAUGGUCUUGAGCCCCCUGACCACGUGGGUAGAAAUUCUGGAAAGUUCUCAGCAGGGCCUGCUUCUCUUGGCUUAUGUCCUAGCUGCAAGGGCCCUUGGACAGGCCACUUGCCUCCCCGACGCCUGGUUUCUUCCUCGCUGAAAAUGAGGUCAGAUGUGACCCCAGCAGGAUGGCUCAUCGAUGGAGACUCCAGCAGGCUCUGUGUCCCCACAGCCUCCGAGCUGCUGGGCACCGAGUAACGACACCGUCUGCAGGGAGGGACAGCAAUCCAGCCCACUGGUCAUCGCCUGCCUUCAGCAUCGUGUCCUCGUUCCCUGUUACCAGGAGGGGCAGAGACUGUGUUGCCCCGGUACCUGUCUUCCCCUUUUUCCUCAGAAAUAGAACCCCCAACUCGUAACUGGGCACCUGGGUGUCCAGAGUCAAGAUCACAUUUUCUGGCUUCCCUUGCAGCCGGAUGCAGCCCUGGGACCAAGUUCUGGCCAAUAAAGACUCGAGGGAAGAAUGGAGACUGGAGUUCCGGAAGCAGCUCCAGCGUAUGCUGGCGGUGUGGCCUCACUUCUCAGACGCGUCCUUUUUCUGCCUAUGAAGCCAUCACAUACCGCCCUGCCCAGGUGAGCACCCUGUCCACGGGGACGUCAGGAAGAUCGAGAGGUGGCUGUGCUCCCCGCAGCCCCCUAAGGGCUAACAGUAAAGGACAGACCAUCCCAAGUGCUGGCACAGGUGUGGCCACCAGAACCAGCCCACGCUGCUGGUGGGAGUGGCCGUCAGCUGCCCAUCGGAGGCCUGAACAUCUGGCUCCCCAGCAACCCUGCUGCCAGGCACAAACCCGGAAGACACACACUAGAAUGCUCAUGGCAUUAUUUGUAAACUCUGGAGAUCACCCACGUGUCCAUUAACAGGAGACUGGGCAAAUAAACUGUGACACACCCACAUGGCGGACUACAACACAGCAGGACCAGCCACAGGCACGCAGCGACACGAUGCAUCACACAGCUCGUGUUGAGAGGAAGAGGCCAGCCUCAGAGGACAGGCGGUGUGGCUCCAUUAAUCCGAAUACAAAGAUCAAGCAAAUCUUCAGGGACAGCGUGGGAGCUCCUCCGGGAUUUGAGAUGGAAGGGGCACGAGGGAGCCUCUGGGGGGCUGGCAGCUGUCUGGAUGGUGGUGGUUUCGCGGUGCACAUGAACAUAAAAAUGCACCCACCUGUAAACUUGUGGUCCGUGCGCUCACCUCAGGUUCAAAUGGACUUAAGCCGAAGAGACGUGCUCUGAGGAUGCAGAGCGUGGGUCUGCGCGACGGCCCUGCCACGGUAACCCCAGACCAGCCCUCGUUCCCCCUCCUCCGACCUCUUGUCCACCCUGAGACUCCCGGCUCUGCAGUGUCCCCAGGCCGAGCCCUCGUACGCACAGCAGCCACCUGCUCCCAUCCUCCCGAGGCUCCUUCCGGUCCAUUCUCUCUCUUCAACCUUGGCAGGCGCUGGCCUCCAUGGCCUUGGGUUGGGACUGCUCUGACAGUGCUGAGGGCACCUGCACGUCCCAACCCCCCACGCCAGAUGCUGCUCUUAAGGACUUACCCUCCCUGUGCAUCUCAUCCACCUGCCUGGGCUUCCUUCCGUGUGGGAAUCAGGCUCGACAAGGGCUUAGGCUCAGAGAAGCCAGGUCUGGAAUUGGCACUUCUGGUUCCAGGUCAUCAGGUCCCAAAUUCUGAUGCUGGCCAAGCCAGGGAUGGCAAACAGGGUCAUUUUAUGUGCUAGCUGCGGUUGAUUAGGAGGCUGCCUGGAGAAUGUGCUGAGAAAGAUUCUGAGGCCACUUCUGGACUCUGCAGGAAAGAGCGGCUGAUGUGUGAGUGGCACAUGUGAUGGAGGAAUGAGAGGCAAGCUUGCUGUCCCUGAGAGCCAUCCUCACUCUACACCCGCCUCUGCCCCUACACAGGCUCCUCGAAUUCCGCCAAACCCACCGCCACCUCCCCAACCACAGUGAAUGCUCGUGACAGCUCACGCGUAUCUAUGGAGCCUGUAAUUACCUAGCGCAAGACUCCGCUAAGCACAUCACCUACUUCUCUUCCCACCUGCCGAUAAGCCUCUUAUUACCGCCACGUGACAGGUGAGGGAUGGAGACGGGCUGCCUCGCCCAGGACCCCUGGCUCCCGAGAGGCAGACAUGGGGUGCACGUAGCCAGACCCCCAGGGCCACGUCCUCGGACUGUGGUUUCACCUCCACACUCCCCAUCUUUCCUCAUCUUCACCACCAUUCUAACUCCUACCUGCCCUCAAAGCCACCUCAAGUGCCACCUCCUUCCCUCAUCUCCAUUCUGAAAGGAAUCCUCUCUCUCCGGAACCUCUCAAGGGUCCUUGGCUCAGACUGCCUCAUCCUGAACUUAUGUGUGGCUUCACUGGACCGUGAACUUCAUGCCGGAAACACAUCCUUUCCUCCUUGGGGCCCCCUGGGUCUGAGCCCUGGCCCAGCAGAGAAGGGCCUCCCUGAAAAUGUUUGUUGAGUGAACAGACACCCUUUGCCUCAGAAGGAAGUGCUGUCUCUGACCUUGCCCUUGGCUCUGACCUUGCCCAGGCAAAAGGCAUGGUUCAUUCAUCUUCCAGUGUGUACUGAGUGCCUGGCAGAUUCAGGCACCAUGAAGAGACAACAGUGAACAAGACCGGUCCCUGCCCUUGGGACUUAUGGGACUUAUGCCCUGUGACAACUAUUUAAUGACAAUGGAACAUCCAGGAGGGCCUCCUAGAGGCGGUGGUGGCACCUGAACUUUGUGGCCCACGUGUGCUGACAGGUGCGCUGUUCCUCCUCUGCUCUGCCUCUUGUUGGAUUCAUCACUUGCAGGACGUCUUCCCACUGCUGGAAGGCUCUGAAUGGCUUUGCAGGAGGAAGGGGCUCAAGUGCACACCCCCCCCCCACCCAUUUUGAGGCUACUUCUGUGUAGGAUGCACAUGGGUUUGUGCACAUGCACAGUGAUUUACAAGGCUGGGGGCUUUGAGGCUGUCACUUCACCUCCGCGUGUGCAAUGGGGACAGCCACGACCCCGGCCCCACACAGCAGAUGAUCCAAAAGAUGGCACAGAGCUUCGCAAGCAAAAGAUGCAGGCGCUGACUCGGCUUCUCGGCUGCCUGCCCUGCAACCCUUUGGGGCACCAGACACCAGAGCUCCCGACACCGCAGCGUCCUUUCAAAGGCAUUUUGUUGCUCUCACACAGAGGCCUCCGGAAGCCCGGAGGCUCCACCGGAGAGAGGAGGCUGCCCAGGGAGGCCUGAGGAGCCGGCAGAGGAAAGAGGAAACAGACUGUGGAGGUGAUAGUGAGGGUCGCUGGUCACCCACCUGGAGCGGAAGCUUCCCCCUUGGGCAGGCCCAGAACGAUUUAUAGGCCGGCUGCUCUGUGACCCAGCUGACCCAGGGCUGGCCACUCCCUAGGAGCCCAAGCAGCUGCUGAAGCAUCCCCCUGCCCAAGCUGUGCCCAGUCCCUCGAUUCUUGCAAGGGUGGUAGGGCCACUUCCUCAAACGCCCUUCCCCAGUGACCCAGGGCCAGGUGGCGUCUCCUUGGGCGACAGCUCUGAGGGAGCAGGGUAUCUGUGAGUCGGGCCGGGCUCCCCACCCAGCUGCCAUCCUUGGCACAGACACUCACCAAAGUGCCUUUGCUCAUCAUGAGCCAUGGCAGCAAUGAUCUCACUGCCACCCUAGACAGCCAGACCACGUCUGUCCCUUGAUGUCAAGUGACCGUUACUAGGCCACCUGAGGCAGACGAGUGUCUCAUCAGCAAACUCAUGGAGGACAAAUGGUCAGCGAGAGCCCUUCCUCUGUCAGCACUCAGGACGACGAGGCAGAGGCUGAGAAAGGGCACUGACCAACACCUGGGUCUGGGGUUGGCUGAGGGUCCCACUUCCAGGAGUUAGCCUGGGACAGGGUUAAUUCACCGGGAGAUGGGGAGACCCUUGCAGCCCCCGCAGCCCAUGGUCUGGGGCCCCAGUGUGGACACUGCCCCUUCCCAGCCAGGCCCCUCUGAGCCAGCCUGAAUUCCAGGCCCAGCUGCUGGCAGACAAGACGCAGGGAGGGACGGGGACAGGGUGACAGGCACUCUCUUGGUUUUUGCUUGCAUGUCACCUGCCAAGGAACCUCAAACUCGGACCCCCAAAGUCGCAGCCCCACAUCCCCCUUGGGUAGAAUUUGGAGGUGGCCGAGAUGGGCGAGAGGGACCCGAGAGGGAUUGCCGGGUCUGGGCGGUCCAGUGCCCUGUCUUAAGGGCAGCGAGUGCUCAGGCCGCAUGGCGCGCUCCCACUCCGGAGAGUGCGGUCAGCCCCCGUUUGCCGGCGGAGGAACCAGCAAGCAGGUAACAAGGGGGCACAGGGCCCUGGAAGGAAGGAACGGCAGUCACUUCGUCCACUGAGCCUGCGACGCAUUUUCGCCCCGACCUCGCGAGCUGCGGUGCAGUCUCGGGGCGGCCCGUCGCCUCUCAGUGGGUCUGGGGAGCAGGUCUGAAGUCGCCUCUGCGGCCUCCCGCUCCCGCCCUCGCUCUACCAUGCCGGUGUGAACCAGGAGCUCAACGUCCGGCGCCGCCGCGGGCCCCCGGCGGGAGCCGGCGGCCGGCAGGAGCGGUGCGGGGGCGCCCUCCAGCGGCCGCGGUCGGGAAGGCGGCCGGCUGGAAGGCUGCGAAGCGCCGGCCGCGCGGGGCGAGCUUGCGCUGGGGGGACCUGGGGACCGCGCCGCGCCCCAGUGCCGGGCCUCGCGGACGGCGCCCCGUGUCACUGACUGGAUCGCAGGUAACUUGGGGACCAAAAAGGGAGCUGCCUGUAAGAGUUAAAAGCCAGACACCUCUUGGAGCCCCGAGGGGGCGGGGCUGGGGAGAGGGACUUAGGGAGGAGUGGAGGGCGCACUGUCGGGAGCUGGAGGAGCACCUGAUGAAGAGCUGAGGGAGGAGCACCGAGUCAGGAGCUGGGGGGGAGCACUGGGUCAGGAACUGGGGAGGAGUAUCGGGUCAGGAGCUGGGGGGAGCACUGAGUCAGCAGCUGGGGGGAGCACUAGGUCAGGAGCUGGGGAGGAGCACUUGGUCUGCAGCUGGGGAGGAGCACCGAGUCAGGAGCUGGGGGGGGAGCACUGGGUCAGCAGGUGGGGGGAGCACUGGGUCAGGAGCUGGGGAGCAGCACUUGGUCUGCAGCUAGGGAGGAGCACCGAGUCAGGAGCUGAGGGAGCAUUGGUCAGGAGCUCGGUCUAGUUUUAUCCCCAUCAGGUGCGGAUGUGUCCCCGGCUUGUCUCUGUGAUGGACACAGCCCCUGGUAUGGUCUGCCCCCGCCCCGCAGCCCAGCGAGGAGGCAGGCCCCGCCCCGCCCAGGGGGCGCGUGCGGAACUGGAGCACACGCCCAGUGAAGCAGCCCGUGGGAGCCCACCCAGCAGGCACCAGCGCCUCCCUCUGAGCUCAGAUCCUGCCACACCCAGGCCAAGAGCACUUCUGGAGCAAAGACACGGCAGACGCUGUUUCCAGUAUUACGGCUUUAAAUGUUUCAACAGCUUUGUUGAGAUAUAAUUCACACACCAUUCAAUUCACCCAUUUAAAGUGUACAAUUCUGUGGUUUCAGUAUAUUACAUCAUUAAUUUUUUAACGUGGUAAAAUAUAUAGAACAUAAAAUUUGCCAUUUUAAAA
ensembl:lncRNA